rnacentral:Y_RNA from 1 species
GGCUGGUCUGAGGGCAGUGGUGUCUUACAACUAAUUGAUCGCAGCCAGUUACAGAUUUCUUUGUUCCUUCUCCACUCCCACUGCUUCACUUGACUAGCCUAUA